GAAAUAGCUGCUCCCUGUAUGUUGGGGUUGGUAUGGUUGGUCCUACUAUAGACUAGGAGUCCAGGAGAUGAAGGGAGAAAGGAGAAUGCCAGAUAGAGAAGAUAUGAUCUCUGCUUCUUUGCCAGUUGUUUGGGCUCUGUGAACCUGUGCACACACACAAGCACACACACACACACACACACACACACACACACACACACAAAAAAAAAAAAAAAACCAGUUGUGGUAGACUGAACCCUCUAAAACCAUAAUUGAAAGGAGUCCUUCCAGGGAAAUGGCUCAGCAUGUAAAACACUUGUCAAGAACACGAGACCCUGAGUUCAAAUUCUCAGAGGUCAUGUAAAUCUGGGCCCAGAGUGUCUAUUAAGAGAUGGAAGGAAGGACAGGAGAACACCUGGGAAGCUUGCUCGCCAGCUAGCCAAAUGGACUCAGCAGAGAACAGCAAUGAUACCCUGCCUCCAACAGGGGGAAAGAUGAGGCCCAACAGCUGAGGCUGACCUCCACAGGCAUACCAUGGCAAAAGCAUGCCCACACCCACAUGUACAUAGCAUACACAUAUGCACACAUAGUAACAUAAAGCCCUUGGUAUAGACCUGAUCUUGAUAGAGUGCCCAGAACUGAUGUUUUGUCAAGCCUGGCCUAAUAUAAGUCUCGGGAUCUUAGACAUGUCAAUGUCUGUCUCAUGGGAGGCAUAAGGAGUGUUAGAGCCAGGCCGUGGUGGCACACGCCUUGAAUUCCAGCACUUGGGAGGCAGAGGCAGGCAGAUUUCUGAGUUCGAGGACAGCCAGGGCUACACAGAGAAACCCUGUCUCAAAAAAAAAAAAAAAAAAAGUGUUAGAUUUCCUUAAUGUAAUUGUGAACUGGGAUCACAACCCAGCUCCAGGAUAUUGCUUCAAGUAGGAUGUAGUGCCAGCAUUUAUUCUGGACUUCAUAGUCAGAGCAGACAUGCAAAACCAAGGUUCUUAUAAAGCUGUGCUCUCUAGGGUAUGGCAAUGGAGAGACGGCCCAAGGCACAUCAAUCUAUUUAGAAAUGCCCUAAUCCUUUGGAGAGAGUGUGUGAUCUUGCAUGUGUGCUGGUCAUAUGAUUGCUUUGGGCUUUCCUUCCAGGCCUACUCAGUUUGGAAGCUUGGUGCUUAAUAAGUUGAACUGUCCAUCUGAGUGGCAUUUGAAGUCAGAGGAGGCCACGGAUAUGAAAUCAUCUGCCCUUGCCCACUGGCCUCCUAUCAGUUGUGUUGUCUGUAACCAUCAGGACACACUGCACUGGUGACCAGGGUGCUUUGCUAGUACAGUGGGCUAUGUCUAAAUCAUCAGAAAUAUUACAGAAAUUAUUUUUGUCUUUUCCAGUACUCAAUGUGCCUGGAUUUCCUUUCUGGUACCCAAAUUAUCACAUCUAUGUUCUUAAAUGAAUACUUGAGUACUUGAGACAACUCUAC
rnacentral:lncRNA from 1 species